GGAUCCAGAGGUGUUUGAAAUUCUGUCCUGCUUUCUCCAGGCCUUUGUGUGCUGUCGCUGUAAUAAAAACAAGCUGGGGAAAAAAAGUCAAAUGGCUUGACAUGUAGAUAUCCUGUGAACUCCAUUCCAGAAGCUGAUAAAAAUGUUUUGGGAGGUGAGCUCAUGUCAUUUAGGAAGCAGCUUUUCCUGGGGUUGGAAUGGGUCAAAAAUACAGCAAUGUAGGGGAUGAAGCACAAAGUAAAGGAGGGAUCCUGGCACUGGAAUAUCCUACUGAGCGUGGCAUUGUCACUAGCUGGGAUGACGUGGGAAAGCACCAGUUCCUUGGCACUGUGCGGUGAGCUCUGUGGGAAAUGCCAGUUCCAGGAUGUCUCAGGUGCAACAAGGUAUUCUCAUGGGAGAAGCUGCUACAUUUCCUAAAUAUCCCAAGUAUCCCAGUCUCUUUGGGAAUUAUCUGGGUCUGUAUGUGUAUACUCUGCUGUUUGGGGGGAAGCUCUGCAGGGAAAUGCUCCUGGUACUGUUUUUCUAUGGAAAAUGCUGCUGAAAGGGAGAUACCAGGGCUGGGAUUGUUCUGUAUUCUCUGCUGACUAGGAUGAGGUGCGGUUAUAACCCAUCUAUCUGAACUGUCUGUGCCAAGUCCAUAGACCCAGGCUGUUCCAGAUGGACAGACCAAAACUGAUCCAGGAGCAGUGGGAGCGCCUCAGUUGGUAUUUGGAAAUGAAUUGCCCACCUGCUCCUCUAGAUGGAAGCACAGUACUUGGAUUUCAUUCACUCCCUUACUUGCUGCAAGCACACUCUUCUAACUACAUCCCGCUGUGGUUUUUCUACCUCACAAUUUUCCUGCUGCCUGCAUUCAGCAAGAAAUAACUCUUUCAUGUUGGGGGAAAAACAAAUAAAAUUCAAAUUGUUGGCCUGUAUUUUAUGUUUCCUCAUCUGCAUCUGGAAAUUGUCCUGUGUGCACUGGUGUGUGUUCCUUCUCUGGGUAAUGCUGGAUACAAGAGCAGACAGUCUGAAAUUGAGUUAAGAGGAGGAAUUAAGGAAGGUUAAAA